AGAGUUUGAUCCUGGCUCAGAAUCAACGCUGGCGGCGCGCCUAACACAUGCAAGUCGAACGAGAAAGUGGAGCAAUCCAUGAGUACAGUGGCGUACGGGUGAGUAACACGUGGGUGAUCUACCUCUUAGUGAGGAAUAACCCUGGGAAACCGGGGCUAAUACCGCAUAAGCCUUAGCAGGGAAAGUCGAAAGACGCUGAGAGAGGAGCCCGCGGCCGAUUAGCUAGUUGGUGAGGUAAAAGCCCACCAAGGCAGAGAUCGGUAGCCGGCCUGAGAGGGCACACGGCCACACUGGCACUGAAACACGGGCCAGACUCCUACGGGAGGCAGCAGUGGGGAAUCUUGCACAAUGGGGGAAACCCUGAUGCAGCGACGCCGCGUGAGCGAUGAAGCCCUUCGGGGUGUAAAGCUCUUUCGUCAGGGAAGAUAGUGACGGUACCUGGAGAAGCAGCUGCGGCUAACUACGUGCCAGCAGCCGCGGUAAUACGUAGGCAGCAAGCGUUGUUCGGAGUUACUGGGCGUAAAGGGUGUGUAGGCGGUUCUUUAAGUUUGGUGUGAAAUCUCCCGGCUCAACCGGGAGGGUGCGCCGAAUACUGAGGGACUAGAGUGUGGGAGAGGAAAGUGGAAUUCCUGGUGUAGCGGUGAAAUGCGUAGAUAUCAGGAGGAACACCGGUGGUGUAGACGGCUUUCUGGACCAUAACUGACGCUGAGACACGAAAGCGUGGGUAGCAAACAGGAUUAGAUACCCUAGUAGUCC
rnacentral:rRNA from 1 species